ensembl:lncRNA
UGCACCAACUGGGCUUAGCGUUCUUUUCACUAAGACCAAGGCGUAAAUCCUACGCCUGGUCAGGGGGAGGCGUAGGCUGUGUCCCAAUUCAGGGGACGCAUCCUUCGAAGGCUGCAUUCGAAGGAUGCGUCGACGCCGAUUGCGUCACAGCGACGCGCCAAGUGCUGUCCCAAUUCCAAGGGUCCUUCAAAUGCGGCCUACGAAUGCAGCCUUCUUUUCCCGGAUUUUAAGGAUGCAUCGGCUGUAUCCUUCGCGGCCCAACGUAUCCCAAGAUCCUUCACGGCCCAACGUAUCCCUCCCAAGAUUCAUUGCGCAGUCAAUCCAAAAAAUAAAACAAUAAUGGCGGAGAAUGUGGAUUUGACUUUUUCAUUUAAAUGGAGCAAGGAGCAUACUGCUCAAUUGAUCAAACUCAGGGGGGAGAACGACGAGCUCUUCACCGGGGUGAAACAUUCGGCGAGUGUGGCUUGGGGGACAAUUCUGGAGAAAAUAGGCCUGCAGGGGAAGGUGACUCCCCGCAGGCAAAGAAAAAACUUUUGCUGAAAUUUGUUUUGAUACUGCUCUUGUUGUUAACUGCCAUGAUUGAUU